rnacentral:rRNA from 1 species
CCUACGGGAGGCAGCAGUAGGGAAUUUUGCGCAAUGGGCGAAAGCCUGACGCAGCUACUCCGCGUGAACGAGACGCCCUUCGGGGUGGAAAGUUCUGUCAGUGGGGACGAAAGAUGACGGUACCCACAGAGGACGCACCGGCUAACUCCGUGCCAGCAGCCGCGGUAAUACGGAGUGUGCACGCGUUGUCCGGUAUGAUUGGGCGUAAAGUGUUCGUAGGCGGUAUGUUAAGUCUGGUGUUAAAUGCAGAAGCUCAACGUCUUUUCGGCACUGGAUACUGGCAAACUAGACUGCGGUAGAGGUAAAGGGAAUUCCUGGGGUAGCGGUGAAAUGCUUAGAUAUGAGGAGGAACAUCGGGGGCGUAAGCGCUUUACGGGGCCGUAAUUGACGCUGAGGAACGAAAGCCAGGGUAGCAAAUGGGAUUAGAUACCCCAGUAGUC